GAUGAACGCUAGCGGCAGGCCUAAUACAUGCAAGUCGAGGGAGAAGUUUGGUGCUUGCACUGAAUGGGAACCGGCGAACGGGUGCGUAACACGUAUGCAACCUACCUAUAACAAGGGGAUAGCCCGAAGAAAUUCGGAUUAAUAUCCUAUAAUAUUUACAUAUCGCAUGAUAUGUAUCUUAAAGCUCCGGCGGUUAUAGAUGGGCAUGCGGCCUAUUAGUUAGUUGGUGAGGUAAUGGCUCACCAAGACUACGAUAGGUAGGGGGUCUGAGAGGAUGAUCCCCCCACACUGGUACUGAGACACGGACCAG
rnacentral:rRNA from 1 species